UACGGAGGGGGUUAGCGUUGUUCGGAAUUACUGGGCGUAAAGCGCGCGUAGGCGGAUUAGAAAGUUGGGGGUGAAAUCCCGGGGCUCAGCCUCGGAACUGCCUCCAAAACUGCUAGUCUAGAGUUCGAGAGAGGUGAGUGGAAUUCCGAGUGUAGAGGUGAAAUUCGUAGAUAUUCGGAGGAACACCAGUGGCGAAGGCGGCUCACUGGCUCGAUACUGACGCUGAGGUGCGAAAGUGUGGGGAGCAAACAGG
rnacentral:rRNA from 1 species